rfam:Ovis aries breed Texel chromosome 14, whole genome shotgun sequence.
UCCCUGGUGGUCCAAUGGCUAAGACUCGGCACUCUGAAUGCAGGGGGCCUGGGUUUGAUCCCUGAUCAGGGAA